AGAGAAUGGAGAGCAGCGCAUUGAUCGGGGAAAGGCCCCUGCCAGCAGACACGGGACGGGCUCUUGACCGGACCCUUUCCUUCUCCAGGCACUGAAGGAGGACGUGGAGAUGGAGAUGAAAAAACUCCAGAAGGCACAACGGAGGGUCGAAAAGCGCACUGCCCCCAGGAGGAAGAUGACACGCAGGGAAGAGCACAUGAGUUCCCUGCUGCAGGAGACAGUGGCUGUGCGAUUGGAUGAGCAGGCGGCAGCACAGAAGCAUCCACUUGUAACUUCCUGGCUGCGGGCGUUUCUGCUGUUCUUGGGCCUGCUGCAGCUUGUCUUCUUCACCCUGUUUGUGCUGCAGAAGGACAUCCUUCACCUGGUCCUGCCUGGAGAGCUGGCGACUGCCCUUGGCAUCCGUCCACCUAAGCCCGCUCUUUUCUGACCCCACAACACACUGCGGCCCUUCAUCGGGACACCAUUGGGUCUGCACAAGCAUUAGGGGUCUGUCACCAUUGUCACCCUGUCACCAAUCAUGUCAAUA
ensembl:lncRNA